rnacentral:sRNA from 1 species
UACUCGGGCCUUUCAGGCAUCCUCUCCUAAAGACUUUUCAGGGGUCGGUUCGCCGGCCCCUUUUUUUGUCUGCCGA